rnacentral:rRNA from 1 species
GGCUUAUUGAUUUUAAUUUUAGGUUAGGCCUGCCCAAUGAGUUUUUAAAUGGCCGCGGUAUAUUGACCGUGCAAAGGUAGCAUAAUUAUUAGUUUUUUAAUUGAAAGCUUGUAUGAAAGGUUUGAUGAAAAAAUUUCUGUCUYUGAAAGAAUUUAUUAGAAUUUUAUUUUUGAGUUAAAAAGCUUAAAUUUAUAUAGAAGACGAGAAGACCCUAUAGAGUUUUAUAUUUAUUUAAGCAAUAAAAUUAAAGGAUUAAAAAUUUAUGUGUUUAUUUAAGUAUUUUGUUGGGGUGAUAGAAAAACUAAUUUAACUUUUUUUUAUAUAAUGAACACUAAUUUGUGAAUUUUUGAUCCUUAAAUUUAGAUUAUAAGAUUAAAUUACCUUAGGGAUAACAGCGUAAUUUUUUUUAGAGUUCUUAUCGAAAAAAAAGAUUGCGACCUCGAUGUUGGAUUAAAAUUAAUUAGUGGYGUAGAGGCUUCAUUAAUUAGGUCUGUUCGACCUUUAAAAUUUUACAUGAUCUGAGUUUAAA